UCGCCACACAGUCCUUAUCUUUGAUAUGAAUUAGAAUAUUCUCAUCAUUUUUCAUCUCUGCUGCUUCCCGCAAUUUCCCAGCAUCAAUUGUUUCGCAUUGUGUUAAUCCUUGAAGCAUUCGCUUUCUCGAUUUCUGCAAAAAAGAACCCCGCAAAUAUUGACUGGCAGUCCGUCAGGUUUCAGAAAGUGCUAAAGACCAGCAGUCCAGUCCCUACACCCUAAACCUAAUCCUAAACAAGCAAUUUUUUAAAAACUUUGAUUAGAAUUCUGCGAUAACAUAUUAAUUUUUAAGAAAAAAUAAAAAAAGAAUUUGUAUUAAAGCGAGAAAACCCCCCAAAAAGUCAAAAUAUAAUAUAAUUAAAAUUUCUACGCUUAGCUGCUUACUUUGUCGUUAUAGAAAUGUUCUUUCUUUUUGCAUAUGAUGCAUAGUUUGGGCAAAAUUCCAGCAGUUCUACCUCUAGAUGAAGAAUCAGCGCUUUUUUCUCGACGCUUUGACUUUCGUGGUGGUUAAACCGUCGCGGCUGCAUUUUCAAUUUCUCUUUGACUUGGUUCAUUUAGAUUUUUC
rnacentral:lncRNA from 1 species